AAAGUCGUAACAAGGUUUCCGUAGGUGAACCUGCGGAAGGAUCAUUAAAGAGUAAGGGUGCUCAGCGCCCGACCUCCAACCCUCUGUUGUUAAAACUACCUUGUUGCUUUGGCGGGACCGCUUUGGUCCGUCCGAGCCGCCGGGGCCGUCAAAAGCCCAGGCGAGUUCCCGCCAGAGUUAAACCAAACUCUUGUUAAUUAAACCGGUCGUCUGAGUUAAAUUUUUGAAUAAAUCAAAACUUUCAACAACGGAUCUCUUGGUUCUC
rnacentral:misc_RNA from 1 species